AUGGAUGUGUUUGCGUUAUGUGGAGGAGGAUGGCGCAGCGGUUCCAUUGUGCAGAUCAGAUGGAAGGGGCGCGGAUGGCGGUGGCGGUCUGAAUCAUGGUGUGUGUUGGAGGAACGUUGUCGGAGCUUGAGUAAUUCGCGGAGGGGAAGCAACUUUGAUCUCACUUCUUCUUUAUAUAUGGGUUAA